rnacentral:lncRNA from 1 species
GCUGACGGCCGGCUCUCUCCUUUCCCUGCGGCUCACCAGGGCAGAAGCAGCUCCCCGCCGCUGGGACCCCCGCGGGGUUUGUCGCCGAGCGAAGGUGGCGCGGCAGCUGAAGGGAGGAAAGCUGCAGCUGGCGUGCUGCAGUCGCAGGUUUCCCAGGAGAAAGAGCAGCCCGUCUGUCCAGCUUUCAGAGUUGUCCUAGAAAUAAACCGGUGCUUGCGGGGCUUUCCAGAACGCUGGUUGUGGUCGGUCAAGACAGACGUGAGAGGCAAUUUCUGCCUGUCUGUCUGUCUAUUGGUUAUGUCCCGAGAGUUUUGCUUGAACUGUGUGCAACAAAAGAAGCCUUGGGCCCGUACUGAGCAGCGAGAGAAAGCAAAACUCCAGGCUUGUGUGCGUGCGUUUGGCUUGUCCCGAUGGCUGGUGUAG